rnacentral:rRNA from 1 species
GCGAUUCGCCCUUCGGGGUGCCCAGGCGCGAAACCUCUGCAAUAGGCGAAAGCUUGACAGGGUUACUCUGAGUGAUUUCCGUUAAGGAAAUCUUUUGGCACCUCUAAAAAUGGUGCAAAAUAAGGGGUGGGCAAGUAUGGUGUCAGCCGCCCCGGUAAUACCAGCACCCCCAGUGGUCAGGACUUUUAUUGGGCCUAAAGCAUCCUUAGCCCGUUCUACUAAUCUUCCUUUAAAUCCAACUGCUUAACAUGUGGGCUGCUCAAAAUACUAUGCAUCUCUCAAGACGGAGAGACAAACGAUACUCUUUGGGUAUGGGUAAAAUCCCUUGAUCCCUUGAAAACAACCACUGGCGAAAGCGGCUUGCCACAAAGCGCUCCACAGUGAGGGAUAAAAGCUGGGGGAGCAAACCGGAUUAUAUACCCGGGUAGUCCCAUCUGUAAACGAUACACACUCUGUGAUGAGUUGGCUAUAUGCCAUCUCACUGCCGCAGGGAAGCCCUUAAGUUUGCCGCCUGGGGAGUACGGUCGCAAGACUGAAACUUAAAGGAAUUGUCGGGGGAGCAC